CACUCCUGCGGGAGGCAGCAGUGGGGAAUUUUGGACAAUGGGCGAAAGCCUGAUCCAGCAAUGCCGCGUGUGUGAAGAAGGCCUUCGGGUUGUAAAGCACUUUUGUCCGGAAAGAAAUCCUUGGCUCUAAUACAGUCGGGGGAUGACGGUACCGGAAGAAUAAGCACCGGCUAACUACGUGCCAGCAGCCGCGGUAAUACGUAGGGUGCGAGCGUUAAUCGGAAUUACUGGGCGUAAAGCGUGCGCAGGCGGUUUGCUAAGACCGAUGUGAAAUCCCCGGGCUCAACCUGGGAACUGCAUUGGUGACUGGCAGGCUAGAGUAUGGCAGAGGGGGGUAGAAUUCCACGUGUAGCAGUGAAAUGCGUAGAGAUGUGGAGGAAUACCGAUGGCGAAGGCAGCCCCCUGGGCCAAUACUGACGCUCAUGCACGAAAGCGUGGGGAGCAAACAGGAUUAGAUACCCCGGUAGUCCCAUGAU
rnacentral:rRNA from 1 species